UACGAAGGGAGCUAGCGUUGUUCGGAAUCACUAGGCGUAAAGGGCGCGUAGGCGGCUUUAUAAGUCGGGGGUGAAAGCCUGUGGCUCAACCACAGAAUUGCCUUCGAUACUGUACGGCUCGAGACCGGAAGAGGUGAGUGGAACUGCGAGUGUAGAGGUGAAAUUCGUAGAUAUUCGCAAGAACACCAGUGGCGAAGGCGGCUCACUGGUCCGGUUCUGACG
rnacentral:rRNA from 1 species